rnacentral:sRNA from 12 species
UGAUUUUGUCGUAGAGCGCGACAAAGUAAAAAUAAAGAAAGCUCACUGAGA